rnacentral:rRNA from 1 species
CCUACGGGGGGCUGCAGUAGGGAAUCUUCCGCAAUGGACGAAAGUCUGACGGAGCAACGCCGCGUGAGUGAAGAAGGUUUUCGGAUCGUAAAACUCUGUUGUCAGAGAAGAACAAGUUGGAGAGUAACUGCUCCAGCCUUGACGGUAUCUGACCAGAAAGCCACGGCUAACUACGUGCCAGCAGCCGCGGUAAUACGUAGGUGGCAAGUUGGGUGCAAAUUUAUUGGGCGUAAUGCCUUAGCUCGCAGGUGAAAGCCCACGGCUCAACCGUGGAAGGUCAUUGGAAACUGGGGAACUUGAGUGCAGAAGAGGAGAGUGGAAUUCCAUGUGUAGCGGUGAAAUGCGUAGAUAUAUGGAGGAACACCAGUGGCGAAGGCGACUCUCUGGUCUGUAACUGACGCUGAGGCUCGAAAGCGUGGGGAGCAAACAGGAUUAGAUACCCCAGUAGUC